AGCGAACGCUGGCGGCAUGCCUAACACAUGCAAGUCGAACGAGACCUUCGGGUCUAGUGGCGCACGGGUGCGUAACGCGUGGGAACCUGCCCUUAGGUUCGGAAUAACUCCCCGAAAGGGGUGCUAAUACCGGAUAAUGUCUUCGGACCAAAGAUUUAUCGCCUUUGGAUGGGCCCGCGUUGGAUUAGCUAGUUGGUAGGGUAAAAGCCUACCAAGGCGACGAUCCAUAGCUGGUCUGAGAGGAUGAUCAGCCACACUGGGACUGAGACACGGCCCAGACUCCUACGGGAGGCAGCAGUGGGGAAUAUUGGACCAUGGGCGAAAGCCUGAUCCAGCAAUGCCGCGUGAGUGAUGAAGGCCUUAGGGUUGUAAAGCUCUUUUACCCGGGAUGAUAAUGACAGUACCGGGAGAAUAAGCUCCGGCUAACUCCGUG
rnacentral:rRNA from 1 species